UACGUAGGCAGCGAGCGUUGUUCGGAAUUACUGGGCGUAAAGAGUGUGUAGGCGGUGCUCUAAGUUCGGUGUGAAAUCUCCCGGCUUAACUGGGAGGGUGCGCCGGAAACUGGAGUGCUCGAGCGUGGGAGAGGAAAGCGGAAUUCCUGGUGUAGCGGUGAAAUGCGUAGAUAUCAGGAGGAACACCUGCGGUGUAGACGGCUUCCUGGACCAUUGCUGACGCUGAGACACGAAAGCGUGGGUAGCAAACAGG
rnacentral:rRNA from 1 species